CUUGCCGGUUUCGGCUUUACCCUUGCAGUUUUCUUCCCCAGUCCUCUCUGUGGACGCGGGGAGGAAGGCCGAGAAGGCUGGGUGGAUGUCAAGCCCGCGUUCACUGAGUCGUGCGGGAAGAGACGGAAGAACGCGCCUCGCUGCGCGCUCGCCUCAGGCGGCCCGAGAGCAGCCGAGCGCCGGUCUCGGCGGCUGAGGAGACGCCGGCUGAGGCGAAGUGAGCGAAGCGAGGGUUUCCUGACAACUCCGGUUUUUUGUUUUGGGUUUUACGUGUAACUCCUAAUUACGCUCCUGGGGCAGUUUAUUUGUGCCAGCUACAGAAUGAAAACAUCCGAGUGUAAACUAGAAAUGUUCGUGUUAAUUGGUUUGAAAGUUGCUGCAAUUUUUUUGUUCUAAUCAAAAAAGAAAAAAGAUCUCUGUAAGAAAAAACCUACCGCGGCGGCCAUUGGAG